CUUGUCUUCUGAGACCUGCUUUAUGGAGUGAAAUGGGAGAUUAUAUACUAAAUCAAUGAGCAUCUCCAACAUACUUAAAAAUGUGUGUUUCGUGUCUUGCCGUUGGCAGUUUAGGCAGCAUUAUGAUUUUGUUCACUCAUGCUCUGCAUUGUUUGUACAUUACUUUUCCAAUAAAAUAUGCUUCAGACUUCUGUUUGUGCAUUAAGCAUUGAGAAAUGUUUAAAUCGUGUUACAGAACAGCCAAUUAGGCACCCUACCUGGUGCAUAUAUUUAAUGCUAUAAUGCAUAUUUGGAAUAUCAUAUUAACAAUUUUUCCAAGAGGUCCUCAUCAUCAUAUCCUGGUGUAACAGUCUCUUCUUUUCCUGAAACCUUCUCCACCAUGAUUUCUUUUUCUUCUUUAAUCUUCCACCUCUGCCCUUGUUCAUCAUUUUCAACCUAGUCAUGAAGGAACACCAGUUUCCGAUGGACCACGUUAUGAUACAAAACUGUAUGACUCUGUAUGGGAACUGUUGAACCACGGCCUGAACCUCUGAUUGAUCACCUGAGGCAAGCACUGAGUCAGCCGCAGGAGCACAGGUGAAGGCAAUUCAGCUGUGUGGCCGGAAGGGCUGAAGCCUGGCUGCACCUCUCCUAGACCCCAUUUAAGGGCUGACUGCCACUGAAGAAGGAUCUCUUUCCAGAGAUUGCUCCUCUUUGAGUUUCUCCUGCAGUCCUACAACACGGUUCACAUCAGGCUGGGUAGAUUUCUGCGCAGUUCCCAGCUGAGUCACCAGAGAGGGGCCCGCCUUCAUCAUGGAUCAAUUUGAUUUCAAGCCCUGACAAAUACCCAGCUUCAAGAUGGGGGACAAUCUGUAAUGUGCUUUAUGAGAACACAAGGAAAUGAUGAAAAGUUCAAGAGUGACAGCUUGAAGUUCUGUAUGCAUACAAAAAGGACAACGUGAAUAAUGUCAGCAUGCACUUCCCCUUCCCUUCAGGAGCUCCAGAAUAUUUUAGAUGUGUAAAAAGAAUGUACUACUGUGACCUGACAUUACAAGUAUUUGAGGGGCAAAACCACAGCACUUCUAUAUUGACAGAUCACAUACUCUUAAUGCUGAGAUAUAUUUAUCUAUCUAGUACUCUAAGAUGCUGAAGGGGUAGGAUGUGCUUGAGAUAAAAAUAUGUCGGUACUGUUGAAUCAUACCAAAAACUUAACUUAAAAGACCUUCCUCUGACAAAAGCAACAACAACAAAACUGAAACAUAAAAUAUGCUAGACCUUCUUAUUUAAAUAGUAUUUGAAUUGAGCCAUUCUGACUACAAAGGCUUGAAGCCUGGAUACAGCCCUGAACUAAUUUCCUGCCUUUUGCUUUUGUUUGUCAGUUAACGUCAUACAGAUCAUGUCAUAUAAAUGAAGCUGAACACUGUUUAGGUCUUAGUGUUAGCAAACAAGAAAUCAUGAUUUGAUUCUUGCAUUCUGUGCCUCUGUCCUUGAGCCAACUCUGUGUGCUUUGUGCUUGCUACAGCACUGAACGUAUAACUGAUUGUUGGUAAUACUGAAAAUGACAUGCAUAUUGAAAUGCUUGCAAGACUGAAGUUUUUAACAUAAAAUAAAUCAGUACUUUGCUUUUGGGUUUCUUUGUUUGUUUUGUUUUGUUUUUUUGGCUGAAGAGUUGAGAGCAUUUUAUCUUAGGCCAACUGGAAAGUUACCUUUCAUUUCCUUCUCCCCCCCAAUAUUGUUUGUUUAAAGUGUUUUUACUUUUUUAUACAAGUCAAAUUAAAUUUAGAGAUAAAGAGCUGUUUUAAACUGAAAAUCAGAAUAUUUCAUACUGGAAGUGCUUAAAUCAUUAGAAGACCAAAAGAGUAAUCUUCUAGAAAUUCACAAAACAAUCCUUCUGUGUAAUUUUGGAGGGUAGAAGAUAUUAUUAAGAAUAUAUAUUUUUUCUAAUAUUAGAUGUUUUAAUAUUAUAAAAUCAUGGAAUGGUUGGGUUGGAAGGGACCUCAAAGCCCACCCAUUCCCACCCUGUGCUGUGGGCAGGGCUACCACCCACCAGUUCGAGCAGCCCAGGGCCCCAUCCAACCUGGCCUUGAACCUCCAGGGAUGAGGCUCAUUCUCAGCACCUCACUGCCCACUGAGAAAAGAAUUUUUUUCAACAUCUCCCCUAGAUUUCCCCUCUUUUAGUUUAAAGCCAUUCCUCCUUGUUCUGUUGCUAUCAGACCACUUAAAAAGUUGGCCCCCCUCCUGCACAAUAUUAUCAGUAACAUGGUCAAUAACUUUUUACCCAUUUCCAGUUGUAACAUCUGCUCUAUGCUGAGAGACGUACAUUCAACCUGACCAACCUGGCUGCUUGUUCUUCAAAACCAAUGCUAGCGAGGAGUUACAGCAUUUUCUAUUUCUGCAUUUGAGCAUGGAGGAUGGAAAAAGUACCAAGCUCUGAGCUAUGCUCAAUGAAACAGAAUCCCGUCCAGAUCCUCAGUCUGAUACAAAGUCAAGAAAAGUGGCUUCAGGAAACUAGGGACUGUGAAUAUCACUGAUUUAAGAACUGGAUAAUUUAUAAAUCUAUUUAAUCUCCAGCCAACGAUUCUUUCCCUGCUAACAGCUUGCAAAGCAGAGUUAACCUUUUAGGCUAUUAUUUCAAGUGGCCUCUGAGUGAUGGCUACAGGGAGACGUUUCUCUUGAUGUUGAGUCCUUUCUACUUCCCUGUGGAAAUGCCCAGUGCCUUGUGCUGCAGGCACAGCACUUUGGGCCAGGGCUGUGUUUCCUAAGGGAGCUCCUACUCUCCAGUAAAGACCAUUUUUCUAGUUGCCAACUUCACUUCUUCCACGGGCCUGCUGGCCCCUGGCAGGCCUCAGGCAGAAGUGGGGAUGAAAAGGAAAAAAGGAGUUCUCCUGAGGAGAAACCUUAAUUGUGAUGUUUUCCCUUUGCAUUCAUUUGGUCCAUAACUACUUUGCCAUCUUAAAGAGCCAUGGCACAGAUGGUGUCCCAGCAAAUCUUCAGUGCCAGGUGUAGAUGAUGGUUGCUUUCUCCAGGCCGCCAUCCUCCCAUCGCGCACUCCUGUUGGUGUCUGAACUGGUGCAUUGACUCAAAAGCAAAACACCUUCUCUGUGUUCUUACGGGAGUCAGAUUUUCACGUCUCUUCUCUCACAGCUCAAAGACAGCCACUCAGUUGAUAUAGUCACAGAGGCUGCUGAAACCUUGGAUGCUUUCUUAAAUUACCUCUUUGAUGGCCUGUGCCUACACUUCUUGAGGUGACCCCUGUAUGUGCUUGUGUUUUCCUACAGAGAUACAGCCCAUCUUCUCACGUGUCAUAGAAUUGUGAGAUGGAAGAGACCCUUAUAGGCCAUCUCCCAUAGCCCAACUCCCCUGCAACAAACAGGGACACCCACAGCACAAUCAGGGUGCUCAAAGCCCCUCCAGCCUGACCUUAGAUGUCUCCAGGGAUGGGGCAUCCACCACCUCUCUGGG
rnacentral:lncRNA from 1 species